AUUUAGUUUUUCAAGUUUCAUCACUUUAUUCACUCUUUGUGGACCUUGAAAGACCCCAUUUUGAUUGUUAUCUCAAUCUACUCAAUCUACUAUCAGCAAUCACCACCAUGUUGUCAAGUGGCUUCAUUGUGUUUUGUGUGUGGUUCCUGGAUUGAUUGCGAAUACCAGUCACUUGGGAGUCCUUUUCUCAUAAGUUUGAGAACUAGUAGUCCGAAACUCCUCUGGGCACAAGUGAGCCCCGAGGCAGC